CUGUAGUCAAUUACUACAGCAUCAAACCUGUGUCAAGUCUACAUGAACUGCCCUGUCAACUUAUACACACCUUUGAUUCGUGUUCCUAACACAUAGAACUGACAUUGUGUUAAAUUUCUUGUUGUCAACACCUUACUCCAUGCCAACAUGGUUGAGCAAUCCACAAAACAUUCAAAAAAACAAUAGUAAUUACGUUUAGGGAGUUCUUCAACCAUUUCUGGGUAGUGUUGAC
rnacentral:lncRNA from 1 species